rnacentral:rRNA from 1 species
UACGUAGGAGACGAGCGUUGUCCGGAAUUACUAGGCGUAAAGGGCGCGCAGGCUGUAGAUCAAGUCAGCUGUGAAAUGUCUGGGCUUAACCCGGGCAUGCGGUUGAAACUGAUGUACUGGAGUGCUGUAGAGGCAAGUGGAAUUCCCAGUGUAGCGGUGAAAUGCGUAGAUAUUGGGAAGAACACCGGUGGCGAAGGCGACUUGCUGGGCAGCAACUGACGCUGAGGCGCGAAAGCCAGGGGAGCAAACGGGAUUA